UACGUAGGGUCCGAGCGUUGUCCGGAAUUACUGGGCGUAAAGAGCUCGUAGGUGGUUUGUCGCGUUGUUCGUGAAAACUCACAGCUUAACUGUGGGCGUGCGGGCGAUACGGGCAGACUUGAGUACUGCAGGGGAGACUGGAAUUCCUGGUGUAGCGGUGGAAUGCGCAGAUAUCAGGAGGAACACCGGUGGCGAAGGCGGGUCGCUGGGACGGUACUGACGCUGAGGAGCGAAAGCGUGGGGAGCGAACAGG
rnacentral:rRNA from 1 species